UAGAGCGGCGGACGGGUGAGUAACACGUGGACAAUCUGCCCCCCGGCCCGGGAUAGCCCAGGGAAACCUGGAUUAAUACCGGAUGAGACGGGACCCGCGAUGGCGGGAUCCGGGAAAGGCGCUGCGGCGCCGCCGGGGGAUGAGUCUACGCCCAUUAGCUAGACGGCGGGGUAACGGCCCACCGUGGCGACGAUGGGUAGCCGGCCUGAGAGGGUGGACGGCCACAUUGGAACUGAGACACGGUCCAGACUCCUACGGGAGGCAGCAGCUAAGAAUCUUCCGCAAUGGGCGAAAGCCUGACGGAGCCGACGCCGCGUGAACGAAGAAGGCCGUGAGGUUGUAAAGUUCUUUUCGGGAGGGGGAACAACCGUGGCAGGGAAUGGCCGCGGGAUGACGUGAAUCCCGGAAUAAGCCCCGGCUAACUACGUGCCAGCCGCGGC
rnacentral:rRNA from 1 species